UACGUAGGGGGCGAGCGUUGUCCGAAGUUACUGGGCGUAAAGCGCGCGUAGGCGGGAAAUUAAGUGAGAAGUGAAAGGCUGGGGCUCAACCUCAUGCAGUGCUUCUCAUACUGGUUUUCUUGAGGGCGGUAGAGAAAAGUGGAAUGGCUGGUGUAGCGGUGAAAUGCGUAGAUAUCAGUCGGAACACCGGUGGCGAAAGCGCCUUGCUGGGCCAUUACUGACGCUGAGGAACGAAAGCCAGGGUAGCGAAAGGG
rnacentral:rRNA from 1 species